CAUUUGACAAUACAAUACAUACACCAAAUUCCCCAACUACAUUGACAAAUUACAGUAACAAACUUCCACAAUCAAUGCAUCAACUUGUUCAAUCCUUGUCUACCUUGGCAAGCAGAGAAGCGGCCCCUGACUCAGCGCCAGGUGCUCGUUUUCGCUACCAAGACAGCUGGGAGAGAAGCAAGGUCUCCAGUUCAGAGAGACGGAGGAUCUCUGAACUAGUAUCCUCUGCAUCUUUCAUAGCCUUCAACCGAGAAGCCUCUCCCGCCUCUAAUUGCUUCUUCAGCUUACCAGACUCCGCUUGGGAUUGACGGAGUUUACCAUCCAAAAGAGUCAUUUGAGAUAGCAUCGGCUCCGCCUUCCGAACAUUAGCAGCCGAGCGAAGGAAAAUGUGAUACAUGGACUUUGCCUAACUGGCAACGUUGCCAUCAUGGAAGAAGUCUUCGAUGUCUGGCAGGAGGUGCUGAUCAAUGAAGGCUAGGGCGUCAAAACUCCAAUCCAUCACAGAAGGCACAGACCAUUACUCUUCCAUGUUCUCUCCGUUACUUUCUGAUACGUAACAUUUGACUGGAUUUAGUGGAGUUUCUGCAGCACAAGAAUCAAACAAGAUGGCAGCGAUAAGCGACGCGUAUGCGUGACUGACGCGUGCGCGUGAUUUGGAGCUUUCCAUGGCGACGCGUGCACGUGACUGACGCGUGCGCGUGACUGACGCGUGCGCGUGACUGACGCGUACGCGUGAUUUGAAGAUUUGCUCAGCGACGCGUACGCGUGACUGACACUUGCGCGUGACACGCGAAGAAGACCAGUGACGCGUACAUGUGACUGACGCGUACGCGUGACAUGCGUCACGUGCAGAAAAUACAAAAAAUGCUGGGGCGAUUUCUGGGAUGCUUUUGACCCAGUUUUCAGCUCAUAAAGUAUAGAUCAAAGGCUGCAGAGUGAAGGAAUCAAGUGGUCCCCAUCCAUCAAUUGAAGACUUGCUGAUUGCUAUAACUAAUUCUGAUUUAAAUUCAAAUUUGAUUUUUAAAAUAGGAAAAGAUAUGAUUUUAAUUUUAGAUUUUUAAAUUAAUUAGGAUUAGUUAUAAAAGGGGGAUUCCAUUAGGGAAUUCUAGACCAAUUUACAUUCCGCAUUCCAUGAGCAACUAAACCUCUACUGUUAAGGUUAGGAGCUCUAUCUAUUGUAUGGAUUGAUACUAUUAUUUUUCUAUUUUAAUUCAUGUUUUGAUUUA